AUUAAUUCUAAUAAACUAAUACUUAGUUAAUCCAGCACUGGGGAAUAGUGAGGUUGGUAAUUCUGUGUUCCUGUGAUACUUGUUACAUAGGUAGGCAUUGUCAGGCGUCGCGAACCUAGACAGGGAAACUGCAUUCUUGUAUCACUAGGCAUAGAAGGAAAGCUUGCUUCUGAUAAUGAACAUAUAGAUCCGGAAUUUUAUUUAGAAGCUUAUAGAAUAUUUUCCCUCGUAAUUAGAACCAGUAACUUACUGAAAUAGAAGUUAGUGUAGAGAAUUCAAAUUUAAAAGGCAUAGUUUCCUUUAUAGAGCUUCAUGUAAGAAAUUUAGACUUAAUUCUUGGAUAGAAUUAAAUCAGUAUAGUUGAACCUAGAGCUACAAAUUAUAAAUAUUUGUAGAAAGCCAUAUAGGUUUGUGCUUCGUUUUAUGUUGUCUGCGCUUAGACAGGAGAUGGGAUUAUUCUAUAAGGUAGGGAGUUUCUGAAGACCAUAAGGAUGGUUUGAUUUUUGAGGAUGAAAAUAAACAAGGUGGGGAGAAUGUAAAGACCUGCAAGCUUGUCAACGCUAUUAGACCGAUCAAGUGCAGAAUUAACCGAUAAUAACUGGAUUAGUUUAACACGAACGAUAACUAAUAUGAAUUAAUCUAACAAUGAUCUAGAUACGAAACUAGUACCAUCGGUUAGAUCUCGAAAAGUUAUGCGAAAUGAAUUGCUCGCAAGCAUCUUUCGGAUACUGGGUGAAAAAGAUUUAUCAAUUUGUCUCGGAGGGUAAAAAAGUAAUUUUGGAUAUUACCCUUAUGGCUGCACGUGUCGAAGUGAGUAGGUGUCUCAGCAAAUUGGGUCGGUCUUAUCUCCACCGAUCGAAGAGAAAUAUGUUUUCUCUUAUCCCUUCUUCUUUCUUCUUUUUCUUUCUAUUUCUCCCUGCUUCUCUUCUCUUUCUUCUUUCUUGUUCUUCUUCUGCUGAAGAUCGAGAGACGAAAUUAAGGUGUGAUUGAGAGAAUCAAAUCGUGAGGAUCUAUAAAGGAAUGAGGAUUUGAUGAUUAUGCUAAUUUUGAAGAAGAAGAUGGUAUCGUUGUGAUCUGUAAUGGAGAAAAGAAACGUGAGAGUUAGGGUUCGUGAGUUGAUUGAGGGUUUGUGAGAAAUUGAUGAUGAAAUCGAGCAGUAGAUGAUGGGGUUUCAUUAUUAGAACAAGGAAGAAGAAUUAUCAAUUGUUUUUAGUGGAUUCAGUGAUGAAUCGAAGAUCUAAGGUUUGUAACAAAAACUCAGAGAAACUACGGAAGAUGAAAUUUAAGAUGAAGGAGAUAAUGUUUGAGAAAAAUAGAAGAUGGGUUUGAUUGUUUUGAUGAAGAAUCAUUGAGUUAGGGUUGUAAUAAAUUUAGAGAGGUUGUAAAAGAUGAAAUUGAAGGUUUGGAAGAUUAAUUGGUGAUGGGUUUGUUCGUAGUUGAUGAUUGAUUGAGGCUGUAAAGUUGUUUGAGGAGUGAAUCAGUAAAUUAGGGUUUUCAUGUGAAUGAUUAGGAAGAGAAAUUAGGGUUGUCCUUGAGGAUUUUGGAUAAGAAGAAAUAGAUGGAACAUGGAUAAGACUAGUAUUGAAGGAAUCUGAAUGAGAUGGAGGUUUAAUGGUUUCUGAGUUUAGAUGAGGUGUUGAAUCAGAUCAAGCCAAAGAAGAGGUUAAUUCAAUUACUUCAAUAACUCUGUCUUGAGGUACUUGUUGUUUGUGUUUGACUUGAGAAAGUAGAGGGGAUAGUGUUGGAGCAGAAUUUGUGGUGAACUGAAUAAGAAGAGAUGUGGUCUUAGUUAUGUCUUAGUUUAGUUAGAUUGUUAGGAACUUUGGUGGUUGUAGUGGUUGUAGGAUUUCAAUCUGGUGAAUGUGAGAUGGUGAUUGGAUGGAGAUGGAAUUGAAGGUGGUGGUGUUGUUUUGAAUGGAUUGAAUUUGGUUGUGUAGGUGAAAUUGUUAGUGGAUGUGAAUUUACAAUAUUACUGCCUCGUGAAGCAUAUAAGCGGAAUUGAGACUUUGGUGUUCAUUGUUCAACAGUGGAACUGAUGUUGGUAUUGAUAUUGUUGAACUGGGAAGCUGUAUCCAAAAGGGAAGAAGAAAGAGUUGAAAACUGAAGUGGGUCAGUUGUAUUGCAAGAACUUGGAUUCUGUUUCAGGGAAGAGUUAAGUUGUAGUGAAGACAAACCUUAUGACUUGAAGAAGUUGAAUUAGAUGUUAUGUGACUGAGUUAUAGGAAUGAUGGUUAGAUGAAUAUGUUGAGUUGAAUCUCUUCAGUGGAAGCUUGUAACUACCAUUGCAGGUAAAGCUUAGAUUACAGUUGUAUAUUGAAUUGUAUAAUUCUAUGUGAAUGAAUGUAGUGAUCAAAUGAAUAGAAUCAGGUUGUGUUCUUGUAGCAGCAA